rnacentral:rRNA from 1 species
UCGGGAAUUUUUCACAAUGGGCGCAAGCCUGAUGGAGCGACGCCGCGUGGGGGAUGAAUGGCUUCGGCCCGUAAACCCCUGUCAUUCGCGAUCAAACCUUGGUAUUUAAAAGAUGCCGAGCUGAUAGUAGCGGAAGAGGAAGGGACGGCUAACUCUGUG